GGUUCGAGUGGUCAAGUGGUGAGAGCGUCCGUCUCGGAUGCGGGAGGUCGUGGGUUCAAUCCACGGCCGAUCCA